CUUUCUUUGCUGGCGACCGGCGCACGGGUGAGUAACACGUAUCCAACCUGCCCUUACUCGGGGAUAGCCUUUCGAAAGAAAGAUUAAUACCCGAUGGCAUAAUGAUUCCGCAUGGUUUCAUUAUUAAAGGAUUCCGGUAAAGGAUGGGGAUGCGUCCCAUUAGGUUGUUGGUGAGGUAACGGCCCACCAAGCCUUCGAUGGAUAGGGGUUCUGAGAGGAAGGUCCCCCACAUUGGAACUGAGACACGGUCCAA
rnacentral:rRNA from 1 species